rnacentral:lncRNA from 1 species
UAAAUUGUUGGCAGCGGGCUUUGCUUUGAACGUGUUGCUGCACCGCUCUGAUUUCACCGUGCAGGCGGAGGUUCCCUGCUCAGCCUGAACCUUCCCAGCACCGUCAGGAUCAGCCUCCACCGAGCCCCACUUCAGCCCCGUGUUUAAGCAGGGCCAGGCAUGAAGUAGACUGAAAAUGAGUAAAAAGCUGGGGUCAAAGGAGGAAGAAGUACAAACCCCCAAGGAAAAACAUUUCUUGGUUAAUGAAGUGUGAAUCCAAAUGCGAGGGAGGGGAUGAGGACCAGCAAGCUACCAGGCAGUGUUCAUUAAACCUGUGUCUGCUUUUGCAUUUCUCUGAUGUUUCCUGUGGGGAUUUUCCUCCGCGACUCCCUGCGAUGACACUCAGGAAGACAGACUGCUAAAUAUGAAUCACAGAUGCUCUGAAGAAUUCCCUGACAGCGCUACCAAAAGGGAGGUGGAGGAGGUAAGAGUUAAGGGCAAAAAGUAAUAUCACAGUAGAAGAGAUUUUUUCAAUCCUACAUGCUGCAGGAAAGAAUUUUGUUAAUGGAGUGUUACAAUCUUUUGAGUGUGUCCCUUUCCCAGAAGGAUUUCUUGGAAGCUUGUAAGUGCCUUCGAUAGGUCUUUGCAUAUAGGCCAUACGUCUCUUGUGUGGAAGAUGUGGAAACUCUAGCUCCUGCUUCAGAGCAGAAGGGCAGACCCUAAGCAUUGGUUUAACUCUUUCAUGUUAGAUUUGGGAUAGGAUUGAUGCAAGGUCUACUGUAACAUGCUGGACAGAAGUUGGCUUGAUGUGGUGAUUUUAAGCUGUCUGAAGUUAAUAGCUGCUUGUUUGUGUUCAUGUUGCCUUGCUUCCUGUUUAGUUACCACGUGCUUUAAAGUAUUGUAACAGAACUGAUGUGGGAUCAAGUCAUUAACUCCUUCCUCCUCUGCACAAGUAAGAAAAAAUUAUGCCCUCCUGCAUUGGUGUGAGAUGAAGACAGGAGAUUUGUCAUGAUCAACUAAUGCUAUUGCUAGGAUCCCUCUCACUCUUGAAAAAAUACUAAACUUUUUUCCUCAUUUUAAAGUCUUCAACUCUGUUUGCCCUAGAUUUUUCCCAAUUUUAUGUUUCUUUACCCAUCCAUUUUCUAUAAUUUAUAAUCCUGAUUGAUUGUAUACCAUACAAACUUGUACUCAAAUGUGUUUCUAAACUGGAGCUUCCAUUUUGUGCAGAAAUCAGAGCAGGGAUGGCUGUCUUUUCAAUGACACUUCUUAGUCAGUUUUGGGCCAGUCUAAUCUGACCUGCCACACCUCAGUGCAUGUUGCAAUUUAGCCAUUAAUGUUGUCAAAUUUAGAAAGAAGAACUGACUGACUCAAACAUGAGGCUUUGAGGUGAGG